rnacentral:lncRNA from 1 species
GUCCCCGGCGUCCGGGCGCCCUGCAUGGAUCCCCCACCCCAGCUCCUGCUCCCCGGCGGCGGCCGGUGGGCAGAAAGACCGAAACCCACUCACGGCCGCCUGCCGAAUCGCGGCUCUGCUGUUUGUGGGGCGUGCUAGAAACGUGGUCCUAAAAAGAAUGGCGUCCAUUUACAUAAUGCUUUGUUUGCGUUUCGCAAGUUUCUUUCGGUUAAAGCCACAGAAACCCCACCUCCUGCCCUUGUGUCGUUUCCACCGCGGCACCCUUUUCCGACAUUAGAAACAAUAGUGUACGCCUGUGGAGGCCUCGUUUGUUCAGGGGCUGCCGGCCAGGGCUUCAGGACGUUUCUGCGGCUUUCCCCGCGCGGCCUGGGCUCCCGCGGCUGCUUUUCGGGCCCAUGGGCGCAGCCACUGCGCCAGGCUCAAGGGGGGCGGCCCCGUCAGGGCCCGCCAUCUUGGAAGGCCUUUUUUGCCGGUUCUUCCCGCUGAGGAAGUGUCGCUCAAGACGCUGGCCUAUGAGUUGUGAUUUCUGCCUUUUCCCCUUCCUCCUUGGGCUAAGCCAGACCAGAAAGGGCCCCGUGCGCAACGUGCUUCACAAUCUCUCAGGGAAAGCGGCUAACGUGGCGCUACUCCGCCUCCCCUGUUCCUUACCCUUGGGGCGGCCGCCAUGUUUCCUGAACACAAAAUGGCGACACGUGGUUAGCAUUCGUCGCCAACGAGAAAUUGGGGUCGGCCCGAAAGCUCUAGAAUGCACCCCUCUUCCUCCCCGGGGCCUUCCACCUCCGCGAGUUUUAUGACUUAAAAAAGCCCACAGGCUGGUCUGAAGAGGAAGACAAACAUAAAGAUGAAGUGCUUAAUUCAAGGUCACACAAUGUCGGGGAUGGACCUCCAGAUUUCCUUACUGGAAAACAAGCUCAGGGCUCCCACUGAUUGUACAUUAUGAGACGGAGUCUUGCUAUGUUGCCCAGGCUGGUCUUGAACUCCUCACCUCAAGCGAUCCUCCCGUCUUGGCCUCCCAAGUGUCAGGAUUACGGGCAUGUGCUAUCACACCCAACCUGAUACAUUGCCUUUAUAAAUUUUUUUUUCUUUAUUCUAAAAACCAGAAAAAACAAAACUGGAUACAUGUGCAGAACAUGCAGGUGAGACGUGGUCUUGUAACACAGUGGUUAAGAAUGUGACUUUGGAGCCAGCCUGCUAGGGGCUGAAUUCUGACUCAGCCAUUUACUAACUGUGUGACCUUAGUCUCACUGUUGCUCAGGCUGGAGUGCAAUGGCAUGAUCUCGGCUCAUCACAACCUCUGCUUCCUGGGUUCAAGCGAUUCUCCUGCCUCAGCCUCCCGAGUACCUGGGACUACAGGCACUCGCCACCAUGCCCGGCUGAUUUUUGUAUUUUUAAUAGAGAUGGUUUCACUAUGUUGGCCAGGCUGGUCUCGAACUCCUGACCUUGUGAUCUGCCCACCUCAGCCUCGAAAAGUGCUGGGAUUACAGGCGUGAGCCACUGCGCCCAGCCUUGUAUUUUUUUUCAGUUUGGGUAGCUGUCCCUAAUUCAUUUGUUAAAGGAGAAGCAAGAGCAAGAACCUUUAAUCUGUUCUCCUCUUCCCUAAUUUGAAAGUAGCUUGUUAUUUUGAAUAUCACUUUCUCUGAAAUAGCACAUCUCCAUCUCAGAGAAUGGAUUUAAUGUUUGGAUACAGCCAAAAGUCAUUUCAUUACCAAACCAUGGGGUGAAUAUACCAUGUAAAGCAGUUUGGGAUCAGAACUCACAGUCUGAAUUGUAAGUGAUGAGACUGCUGUCUCUCUGCUACAGCUUCUUGGCUGGCUCUGAAGGCUCUUUGAAGGCAGAUCCUAACAAGGGGACUGCUUUGAAGGGCCAUUGUUCAUUUGGAAUGAUAAAGUCUAUGUUGUUCAAAAAACAAAUGCUUGUAGCAGGUAUUUUUUCACUCCAGACUGAGAAUAUUGGUGGGAUAUUGAUAAGGGGUACUGAAUGGUAAUAAACAUGUGCUCUAGCUCUGUGCUAGUCAGCUUAUUUCAGAACUCUAGUUUGAUUCAGUUUCUUGCCUCUGACUCAAAAUGGAGGGAGAGUGAUUUUUACAUAAGAGAACACACCCACAUAUCCUUUUGGCAGCAGCUACCUGCCAGAGAUGUUGAAGAAGAGUAGCCAACCUUUACACAGCAGAUAUUGUGUGCCAGUCAUAGUCCUAAGUAUAAUACCUUACAUGUAUAAACUUCUUAUAAGGUUGGUGCUCUGUACCGAAUUGAAUAGUAUCCCCCAAAAUUCAUGUUGUCCCAGAACCUAUGAAAGUGAUCUUACUUGAGGGAGGGGGGAGGGGGGAGGGAUAGCAUUAGGAGAUAUACCUAAUGCUAAAUGACGAGUUAAUGGGUGUAGCACACCAGCAUGGCACAUGUAUACAUAUGUAACUAACCUGCACAUUGUGCACAUGUACCCUAAAACUUAAAGUAUAAUAAUAAUAAAAUAAAAAAAAAAAAGAAAGUGAUCUUACUUGGAAAUAAGGUCUUUGCACAUAUGAUCAAGUUGAGAUGAAGUUGUACUGGAAAGUCUGUCUAGUGACUGGUGUUGUCAUAAGAAGAGAGGGACACAGAGGGAAGAUGGCCACAUGAAGAUGGAGGCAGAGAUUGCAGUUAUGCUGCUGCAAACUAAGGAAUGGCUCUGGCCCUCCAAGGAUUGCUGAUAACCACCAGAAACUAGAAGAGACAAGGAAGGAUUCUUCCCUAGAGCCUUCAGAGGGAGCAUGGCCCUACUGACACCUGGAUUUCAAACUUGUAGCUUCCUAAACUGCAAGAGAAUAAAUUUCUGUUGUUUUAAGCCAUAUAGUUUGUGGUAAUUUGUUAUGGCAGUCCUAGGUAAU